UACGUAGGGCGCGAGCGUUGUCCGGAUUUAUUGGGCGUAAAGAGCUCGUAGGCGGUUUGUCGCGUCUGCUGUGAAAACUCAGGGCUUAACUCUGAGCUUGCAGUGGGUACGGGCAGACUAGAGUGCGGUAGGGGAGACUGGAAUUCCUGGUGUAGCGGUGAAAUGCGCAGAUAUCAGGAGGAACACCGGUGGCGAAGGCGGGUCUCUGGGCCGGUACUGACGCUGAGGUGCGAAAGCGUGGGGAGCAAACAGG
rnacentral:rRNA from 1 species